GCAGUCAGAGGCGAUGAAGGACGUGCUAAUCUGCGAAAAGCGUCGGUAAGGUGAUAUGAACCGUUAUAACCGGCGAUGUCCGAAUGGGGAAACCCAGUGUGAUUCGUCACACUAUCGUUAACUGAAUACAUAGGUUAACGAGGCGAACCGGGGGAACUGAAACAUCUAAGUACCCCGAGGAAAAGAAAUCAACCGAGAUUCCC
rnacentral:rRNA from 1 species